rnacentral:rRNA from 1 species
CCCUUAGAUGUUCUGGGCCGCACGCGCGCUACACUGUUUGAUUCAGCGAGUCUUAACCUUGCCCGAAAGGUUUGGGUAAUCUUCUAAAGUCAAACGUGAUGGGGAUCGAUCAUUGCAAUUAUUGAUCGUGAACGAGGAAUUCCUAGUAAAUGCAAGUCAUCAGCUUGCGUUGAUUACGUCCCUGCCCUUUGUACACACCGCCCGUCGCUACUACCGAUUGAAUGGUUUAGUGAGAUCUCCGGAUUGGCUCUGUAGGUCCCGCAAGGGAUUUAUUAGUAGCCAAGAAGCUGCUCAAACUUGAUCAUUUAGAGGAAGUAAAAGUCGUAACA